UACGGAGGGUGCAAGCGUUAUCCGGAUUCACUGGGUUUAAAGGGUGCGUAGGUGGGCAGUUAAGUCAGUGGUGAAAUCUCCGGGCUCAACCCGGAAACUGCCAUUGAUACUAUCUGUCUUGAAUAUCGUGGAGGUAAGCGGAAUAUGUCAUGUAGCGGUGAAAUGCUUAGAUAUGACAUAGAACACCAAUUGCGAAGGCAGCUUACUACCCGAAUAUUGACACUGAGGCACGAAAGCGUGGGGAUCAAAUAGG
rnacentral:rRNA from 1 species